rnacentral:lncRNA from 1 species
UAGCCAACAACCUAGCGCCUAUGCGGCGUUAAGUGGGAAUUUUUAGAACAAUGCAUAUAAAAUGUAAUUACUUCUUAGAGGUAAACCACAUUUUGAAUGUGUACAUGAAUUUUUACUUUUUGUAAUUUUAAUGAUUUGCUUUUGAAUAGGUGUCAUGCAGUUUUAAAAACAAGAAUUGCUCCUUAAUCAUUAAUAUUAUACAAUUUGAAAUUGAGAACUCAUCUAGUAAAAAUUGAAAGACACUAAAGCAAUAUAAAAUAAAAAGAAAACUAAUGAAAAUAGUUUGAAAACUUUGAGUUUUAACGAUAAUGACAAAAUAAAGGGUAAAAUGAAUAGUACCAUGAUUGAUUUUUUAGUGUAAAAAUGUAAUUUUUUAUUAAAGUGAAUAGUACAUUGAGCUUUUUGUUAAAGUUCCCUAAAAUAAAAGCUAAAAAAGCUGUUAUGCACUUCAAAUACAUCAUGCACAGCUCCCAAGUUAUAAAAAUAAAAAAAAGAGUGCAUCAGGACUAUUUUAAAGUGUUUGAAAAAAAAAUUAGGUUGAUAAUUUCCAAUAAAAAAUACAAAUUAAUUGAGCUGUCAAAUAGGUUUGUACUUGACACACCCCGACCGAGAUCAAGGUUACACACCCCGAUCCUAGAAUCAAGGUGUGCUGGGCGUCACGUGAGCGUGACUUAGCCAAAAGUGCGACCCGGAAGCAAAAGAUAUGAGAAAUAAGAAGGAAUUUAAACCAACCACUAGCAGUAAUAUCCUACUAGCAUAAAAGAGUGAGUUAUAAAGUAAAACACACGAAUUCAGAGCGCAGAUACUAGGUGCAGUCAAGUAGGUCUAUAAUUAAGAGUACAACACCCGCAGGUGAGUCCUACAUGCAGGACGUCUGUCAGAACGCCGAAAAGAACCUCGUGAGCCACCAACUGCUAGCUAGAACCUGGAGGGGCACAAAACAAAGUUGAGUGGGUCAGUAAAACCAAAGAUUUCCCAAAACAUUUCAUUUAAAACAUUUCUAACCCCUCACUGUAAAACCUGUAUACUUUCCCAGAAAAUAACAUAAUAGCAUAAUAUUUACUCAAAUUGCUCAAGCAUCAAUUUUAUCAAAAACCAGUAAUUAUGCCAGCAAUAAUGUCAAUGAUUAAAAAUAUGGAUGCAUCAACAUGACAGGCGAUAUAAUGAAAUAACCGGAGACCCUACAGUGGUCCUGUAUGGCUAAUUCCAGCUCAAAAUCAAACCCAGCCGGAGUCCCCACGGUGACCUGUACGGCACUACUCUGCACGUCACUCGGACUACGUAAGGUAGUCUGUACGAUGAAAAGGUGUAAGAAUACGCUCUAGUGCUUCUCUCAUCAAUCAUCGGCGUGUAUAAACUAAGGUCACCCACUAGUCGGAAUCACCUCUAGCGAUCUAUACGACUAGCAUGUCGGAACCCUCACAUGGUCUGUACGACAUUCACCUACUUGGAUCCAAGGCGAGCGUGCGAUGCGGUGAAUAAUAAGCACUAACACCAAGGGUGCAGGUUAUGAGCUUUCAAUGCAAUUCACAUAAAAUAAAUCGUAUGAAUAACGUAAAACUCACAUGUGCAUCCACAUCAUCAAUUCAUAUAUAUAUGCAUCAAUUAUCAAUUCAAAUAUCUCAUAAUAUGCAUGCAUGGCAUUUUAAAACAUAUUUUCAUAUAAAUCCAAUUUCUGGGAAAUUAAUAGUAUAUAGGUAUAUACGAAAACAAAAACUGCCCACUCACUGGUAAGUCGAUGGGUCGUAACCCCCGUGACGUCCCUGGAUGCGCUAGUCCUCGGGAUAGGUGUCACCUAUAUGCGAAACAACUAUAGAAACGUUAAUUAAAACACAUAACCAACAAUUCGAAAUAACUUCUCAUACGGUGCUCAAUUUGGGUAUGUGAAUAUACCACAUUGACCUACUUGACGUCACGGACGUUGACAAUUUUUUAGAAAAAAUUUUGGGUCUGCCACGCGCCCCCACGCGCCGUGGGUGGCACGGACCUACGCACCCCCACGCGCGCUUCUUCUUCCCCGCGUCGCCGACACAGUGUCGCCGGAGCCGAAAACCUGCAACUCGACCUUUCUCCCUCGUUUCUUCAUCAUUUUUCAUGAAAUUUUCACCUACGAGUUCUAAAUUAAGAGGGGAAGGGAUCUAUACCUUCUAAAAUCCUUAAAAACCUCUGAAAUUUCGUCGGGAAAAUCCUCCAAUUCGGCCAACUUCGAACCGGAUGAUCCUGACGUCCCAAACCUUCAAACGAAGCACUCCAAGCUUCCUUGGGACCUCAAUAAGCUUACUAUGAGCUUAGAAUUUCCUGAAAUGCAAGAUUUUACGUGUGCAUGAACAGUGCACCAUUUCGGGGUUAGGGUUUCACGAUGAUUCAGAGGGUUUCACUUCCUAAAACUAGUACCAUUCAACUCAGAACGUCAAAAGGAUGAAGAACCAUACCUCAUUAGCUUCGAUCCGUGAUGUUUAGAUGGUCUUUGGGUGUGGCCGUACAAUUCGAGAGGGAGAGAGUGAGAGAGAGCCGUGAGGGAGGAGAGAGAGAGAGACACGAGGUGAGUGAGGGAGAAGGAAGUGUGUGUGUGUGGUCCACCCUAACCUUAACCACACGAAUAACAGCUAUUAAAUUAAUAAAAUUUUCCAAACUUAGGAAAAUAAACAUUAUGAAUAUAGUAUAUCACACACCCACCUUAGUAACAUCGAGGGCAGCAUCGUCAUUUCACGUCCUCAUUAUAUAUUCCCGGAACGAGCUGUGACAAUCUCCCCUCCUUAUAGAAUUUCAUCCUCGAAAUUCAUACGACCGACUAAUCCGCUUAAUACCCGAAGAAUAACCUUGGGUACAUCUCUCUUAUUCGAUCUUCUGUUUCCCAGGUAGCUUCUUCUACUGAAUGGUUCCUCCAUAAUACCUUCACCAAGCUCACUGUCUUAUUCCUUAGAACCUUGUCUUUCCAAUCCAAGAUAGUCACUGGUUCUUCAUCAUACGUCAAAUCCGGAUUAAUCUCCAGCGGUUGAGGAGGAAUCACAUGUGAAGGGUCAGAAACAUAAUGUCGAAGCAUCGAGACAUGGAACACAUUAUGAACCUUAGAUAACUCCGGAGGCAACUCCAACCUGUAGGCAACUUCACCAAUCCUUUCAGUGAUCUCAUAAGGUCCUAUGUUCCUAGAACUUAACUUUCCUCUCUUCCUAAAUCGUACCACACCUCUCCAAGGUGACAAUUUCAAGAAUACCAAAUCACCCACAUCAUAAACUCAAUCAGUAGCAUGUCUAUCUGCUAAACUCUUUUGUCGAUCCUGAGCUGCUUUCAGGUUAGACUUAAUCACCUGAAUAUUUUGAGUAGUCUCAUCCACAAUCUUCGGGCCUUCCAAUACUCUUUCACCAACCUCAGACCAACACAAUGGUGUACGACAAGCUCUACCAUAAAGUGCCUCAAAUGGUGACAUACCAAUGCUCGAAUGAAAACUAUUAUUGUAGGCAAAUUCCAUUAAGUCUAGGCGAUCAUGCCAAGAAUCACCAAACUGUAACACUGAAGAUCUCAACAUAUCUUCCAACGUCUGAAUAGUCCUAUCUGAUUGCCCAUCAGUUUGAGGAUGAUAAGCAGUGCUAUAAAGCAAUUUCGUACCAAGAACUUCCUGAAAAGCUACCCAAAAUUUAGAAGUAAAUCUUGGGUCUCGAUCAGAAAUAAUAUUCACUGGAACUCCAUGAUACUUCACAAUCUUCGUGAUGAACAACUUAGCCAAUUUAUUCAGAUGAUACUUUUCCCUCACUGGAAUGAAGUGCGUUGACUUGGUAAGUCGAUCUACAAUCACCCAAACACCAUCGAAUCCAUUUCGUGUACGAGGAAGCUUAUACACGAAAUCCAUGGUUAUAUUUUCCCAUUUCCACUGAGGAACGGGAAAUGGCUGCAUUCGCCCAAAAGGCUUCUUUCUUUCCACUUUGACUUGCUGGCAAACAAUACAUCUACUUACAUAUUCUGCAAUUUCCCUUUUCAUACCCGGCCAAUAAUAAAAUGGUCGAAUGGUAUGAUACAUCUUAGUUCCUCCUGGGUGUAUCGCAUAAGUUGAACAAUGCGCUUCAUCCAAAAUUUCCUUCUUUAAUUCCUCAUUAUUCGGCACAUACAUUCUGUUCUCCUGCAUAAGCAUGCCAUCCGAUUCUUGAAUCCUGAUGUCUUUCUUUUUCCCUUCAUUUCUUAAUUGAACCAUUUCUUGAAUUUCUUCAUCCACCGACUGAGCUUCGAGUAUACAAUCAACCAAAACUGGCCUGACUUGAAAACUAGCAAGAAAAGCUUCUCUUCGAUCUUCUAACUCCAACUUUACUCCAGUAGCUCUCAGUUCAGCAAGAAGAGGAACACGGCAAGCAUAUAAAGCAUUGAGUUGACCUUGAGGUUUCCUACUCAGUGCAUUAGCUACCACAUUAGCACGACUCAGAUGAUACUCAAAAGUGCAGUCAUAAUCACUUAGUAAUUCCAUCCAUCUUCGCUGCCGAAGAUUAAGAUCAUGUUGAGUAAAUAGACACUGAAGACUCUUGUGAUCAGUGAAGAUCUUACACUUCUCACCAUAUAGAUAAUGCCUCCAAAUCUUCAAAGCAAAGACAAUGGCUGCCAAUUCAAGAUCGUGAGUAGGAUAAUUUCUUUUAUGAAUCUUCAACUAUCGAGAAGCAUAGGUGAUCACCCUAUUAUGUUGCAUCAAAACACAUCCCAAACCAUUCAAGGAUGCGUCGUUGUAAAUCUCAAAGUUACCGCUAUCAUCAGGAAGUACCAAUACUGGGGCAUGAGUGAGGCAAUAUUUCAAUUGCUGGAAAUUCCGCUCACAAUUCUCAUCCCACUCAAACUUCACAUCCUUCCUGGUUAACUUCGUUAACGGCAAAGCAAUCAUAGAAAAAUCCUGAACAAACCGUCGAUAAUAACCUGCUAAACCAAGAAAACUUCGUACCUCAGUGACGGUUCGAGGUUGUUCCCAAUUCUCCACUGCUACUAUCUUUUGAAGAUCUACUUGAAUUCCUUGUGCCGAUACAACAUGCCCCAAAAAUGCCAUUUCAGUCAACCAAAACUGGCAUUUACUGAACUUGGCAUACAAUUGAUGUUCCCUCAAUUUCUUUAAUACCAAGUUAAGAUGUCGAAUAUGAUCUGCUUUAGACUUAGAGUAUACCAGAAUAUCAUCGAUAAAAACAAUGACAAAUUUGUCAAGAUAUUGCUGGAAUACCUCGUUCAUUAACCUCAUGAAAGAUGCAGGCGCAUUAGUCAAUCCAAAUGGCAUCACCAGAAAUUCAUAAUGUCCGUAACGAGUCCUGAAAGCCGUCUUAGGUACAUCUUCAUCUUAAAUCUUCAACUGAUAAUAACCCGACCUCAAAUCAAUCUUAGAGAACACACACGCACCUUUCAGCUGAUCAAACAAAUCAUCGAUGCGAGGCAAUGGAUAACGGUUUUUAAUCGUUACCCGGUUCAAAUGCCUAUAAUCAAUGCAUAAUCUUAGAGUUCCAUCUUUCUUUCUCACAAAUAAUACUGGAGCUCCCCAAGGUGACAAACUAGGUUGGAUGAAACCUUUAUCAAGUAAUUCUUGUAACUGAAUUUUCAAUUCCCUCAACUCAGCUGGAGCCAUUCUAUAUGGAGUUAAAGAUAUAGGAUCUGUACCUGGAAGCAAAUCGAUAGAGAAUUCCACAUCUCUGUCUGGCGGCAAUCCCGGCAAAUCAUCAGGAAAUACAUCAGGAUAAUGCCUGACCACACCAACUUCUUCCACACUGCUAGGAACAACAUCAUUUAACACCACAUGUGCUAAGUAUCCUUGGCAACCCUUCGAUAAUAAUUUCCUUGCUCUUAUGGCAGAAAUAACGCCAUGUCUCACCCCACUUCUUUCGCCCACAAAAGUAACCUCGGGUAGUCCAGGGCGAUAAAAAGUAACUGAUUUCCUGUAACAAUCAAUAUGGGCACGAUGAUAAUGCAACCAAUCUGCCCCGAGAAUCACAUCAAAAUCCACAAUAUCUAAUGGAAUAAGAUUAGCUGGCAUAACUACGCCCUCUACCAUCACUGGACACCCAAGAUACACACUAUCAACAUAACACUUGUCCCCUCUAGGCAUGGCAAACUCUAAAUCAAAUCCUAGAGGUGAAAGGUGAGGUUGAGUCAUUUGAGCAAACGUAUGAGAAAUCACAGAAUGCGUAGCACCACAAUCAAUCAAAACUCUAGCAAAAUGACCAAGAACAUUUAACGUACCCAUGAUCAAAUCUGGAUGGUUCUGAGCAUCUUGCAGUGAUAUGUGGUUAACACGUCCUGAGCUUGCUGUCGUCCACCACAACCUCUGUUGCCUUGAUUACCUCGCCCCUGAGAAGUACGUCCCUGACCUGACUGAUUAGACUGCCUAGAUGAUCCUGCACCACUAGUAGCAACCUCUCCCUGACGGGGCUGACCUCCUUGAUGCCACUGAGAUCCACCAGCUGGCAUGGAAGAAUAAGAAGAAUAACCCCUAAGGUCUUGGGAAUACCUAGUCUGAGAAUAAGGAUCCUGGGGAUACUGAUAUGGUUCGGAAGCAUAAGGAGCAGCAUCACCCUGGUAGUGGUAAGCACCACCACGACCCGACUGACCAUAACUGCCUGAACCAAAGCUCUGCUGAAUCGGCGCUGGAGGUGGCAUAGUGGUCUGCUGAGGUCUCUGCUGACCUUAGGGACACUGAGUACCACGGAGUACCAGACCCACCAGCACCACCGAAAUCCCUCUGCCUCUAAAAUCUGGGUCUACCAGAAAAUCUUCCACCACCUCUCCUCGGGCCAGUGAUACUAAAUCCUCCACUGGAAGAACUCAAACUCGCUCCACUUUUCUUAAAAUUUUGCGUCUUACGGGGUCCCGGAAUGGAGAUACCCUUGCCCUUAUCCUCUUUCUUCUGACCAUCAUUCUUGUCCUCGUCAUCCUCACUGUCACUAGGAAGAUUGUCGGAGUCCUCCAUCCGAACCAAAAUCUUGAAAAACUCAUGAUAAUCGGCGUAAGGAAGUGCACUGGCAAAAGUCCGCCAUUUCCUCUUAGUUCCCAACUUAAAACGUCGAAGCAUCUCUACCUGAUUACCAGCUGUAUCAGGGUCAUAACGAGACAAGUCAGUAAACUUCCUGUAGUACUCAUGCGCUGACAUAUUCUUUUGUUUCAAUCGAGUAAACUCCUGCUUCUUGCGAUCAAUGUACUCCGGAGGGACACAUCUUUUCUUGAAAUUAUCUUUAAAUACUUCCCAAUCAGCUGCCAUUUCUGGGGACAUAAACUGAGUUUGAUUCCUCCACCAACCUGCCGACUCUCGUCCCAAAAACCAAGUAGUGGUCUCAACCCACCUAUUAGCAGGAAAGUUCCCUUGACUUUGCAUCACCUGAAACGUCUUCUCAAUACGGUCUAGCCACUUUUCUGCCCCCUCGUGACCCUCAUUACCCAUAAAACGAUCCAAUUUCAGAUUGUACAUAGUCUCCAGGGGUGUCCUCUGAGGAGGGGGAGGAUGACGAAUUGCAUUCUGAAAAACCUGAGCCAUUGCUUCCCCUAACUGAGUGAUAUCAGGGAAAUUAGGUUCAAAAGUACGGCGAGAUUCCCUACGAGGCGGCAUAAUUCUGACAGAAAACAUCAAAAGAUCAUUAGAGCAUUAACAAUUUAUACAAGACUACAACCUAGGCUCUGAUACCAAACUGACACACCCCGAUCCUAGAAUCAAGACGUGCUAGGCGUCACGUGAGCGUGACGUAGCCAAAAGUGCGACACGGAAACAAAAGAUAUGAGAAAUAAGAAGGAAUUUAAACCAACCACUAGCAGUAAUAUCCUACUAGCAUAAAAGAGUGAGUUAUAAAGUAAAAUACACGAAUUCAGAGCGCAUAAACUAGGUGCAGUCAAGUAGGACUAUAAUUAAGAGUACAACACCCGCAGGUGAGUCCUACAUGCAGAACGUCUGUUAGAACGCCGAAAAGAACCUCGUGAGCCACCAACUGCUAGCUAGAACCUGGAGGAGCGCAAAACAAAGUUGAGUGGGUCAGUAAAACCAAAGAUUUCCCAAAAAAUUUCAUUUAAAACAUUUCUAACCCCUCACUGUAAAACCUGUAUACUUUCCCAGAAAAUAACAUAAUAGCAUAAUAUUUACUCAAAUUGCUCAAGCAUCAAUUUUAUCAAAACCAGUAAUUAUGCCAGCAAUAAUGUCAAUGAUUAAAAAUAUGGAUGCAUUAACAUGACAGACGAUAUAAUGAAAUAACCGGAGACCCUACAGUGGUCCUGUACGGCUAAUUCCAGCUCAAAAUCCAACCCAGCCGGAGUCACCACGGUG